GUUAGUCGUUUCGGAGUUGUGUUUCACCCUCGUUUCACCCGCCUUAAGGUGUAGUAUAGUUUGAGGCAUUUUUGUUUUUUUUAUCCCUCAAUCGAAACUUUAAGUUUUUUGCUGAUAGUUGGGACUGUUAUGCGUCAUCGAAAAAUUGAUGUUUUGGUCACCUCUUAAGAUGUCUCUGUUGCUUCCGUACAUUGCAUUUUUCAUUCGAUGAUAGACUUUUGAGCAAAUUUUCGGAGAGGAAAAAUAAAUACAUACUCACAAGCAGGCUUGGAAAGCGUCAAUGUCAACACGACUCGUCACGUGAUUAUUACAGAAGUGCCUCUCUCAAUGUCAUCGAAACGGGAGACGAUGACCAAGAAAGUCUAACCAUAUUCGCUCAUUUUUCGGUCAUGACGAAGCGUGACAUGGAUUUAAACAUCCAUGAUUCGUUUUGUGACGAUGAAAAGGCCUACUUGUACAUCGUCAUGGGAUGAUCACGACCAAUAACAGCGCUGCGUCACAAGUAAGUUUGCAUGGCAGUUCAAAGCCGAGGGGGGCGACACAUCCAGAUCAUCCUAUUUUUACUAAUAAUCUCACUCAUCUAUCACACUGUGUAUUAUCCUUUUCAAUCUUUCUAUCUGUUCCCAUCCCAUAAUCCAUCUCAAAUCUUUUUUCUCAUCUCCUCACAUCUCUCAACAUCUAAUGCGAUCGACGUAAACAAAGUGAACGAUUUUGUUCAAUGAGAGUCUAAUGAAGGUGUGGAAGAGACACUUCGUGUGCGUGAGAUCCGUGUUUGGUGCAAAACAUGUCACUACUACAAGCAAAGCGAGCUCCCAUAAGAACGCGUGUCAAAUAGUGACGUCACUAUUUGUGUUUACAUUUUUCUUUGCUUACUAAUACAUAGCCAUAUCUUCUUCUUCCCCACCUGUAAUAUACUCUCAUUGGAUUUUGUUGUCAUCGCUGUGGGAAUCGUUUUAGGUUUUGUGCGGAGUUUUCCAAUAAAAAUUAUAGUAUUUACACCGAAUACAACAAAUUGCAAUUCUAUGAAACACGAAAACUUCUAAAUAUUCUUCCGGGAACUGUACGGCUCAAGUAGAUCAUCGGGUGGCGGCAUGGAAUACCAUCUGCCGCAUGCGGAAGAGGAGCAAAACAGUGGCCGUGCCGGAGCUCGGAUGAAAGCGCGAGGGGACAUCCUGCUCAAAGCCCCCAUUAUCGACGACGACGAGGACUUGUUGGCAUAGUUGCACAACGAGGACUUUCCCCGAUAGCGUUGUGGCAUUACUUCGACGGCGGGAUUGUGACUUCUCCAAGCACCGGUAGCGAGUCUGAAUUCAGUAAAGAAACUGGAACGGCAGAAGUAGGAAUGUCGACUGUCGCUGGUGCAGCUUCACCGACGGAGGCAGCGAGCAAGAGCUAGUCAACAAGCUGGAAGAGCUGGAAAAUGUCCCAAAUCCGAAACAUCUAUAUUGUUCGGCAGCAGUGAUCUUGAUCUCAGGAACCUGGCGGGACAGAUGAACCCUAUCAAACCGACUACGUCUCCACCACCAUCGCCGUCGUAACGUAUGAUUAUAGAGGAUCCGGGUGAACGUCAAUAUUCGCUGAACAAUCACAAACUCAUGGUUUUGAUUUAACGUCCAGCACUUUCUUCCUCCGCUUUGGCUUGGCGACGGAAGCUGUAAGGAUGCGAUCUAGGAUGCGAUAAACGCCAACAUCGAAAAAAUGGUCCAUUAGACCAGGAAACAAUGAAGAACAUAGACGAGAUCUAAAACAUACUGACGAACCUACAUUUUCAAGUCGGAUUUUGUGAAUCGCUUCCUGAACACUGCCAAGAGAACCAAUUCAAUUAUUAUGUGAUUUAAUUAAACUUAAUGAAUGCUUCGCUGAUUGUUUUAUUGUUUUCCUAAAAAUGGAAAAUAGAAUUAAAUCUAAUAAUGCAACUACAAAUAAAAUAAAAAGAAUAAGGAAUAACGUUUAACUUGGCACCACCAAGUCUAUCGCAAUAUAUGAAAAGAGCCCAACUGUGGUUUUUGGAACCAGUUACAUUUCGCUUCAUUAGAGGGUUUUAUAAGCAGAAAAUAAGUAGAUGCUUGGGAACAUCCUUAAUCCUUCUGUUUAUGAUCUUAUAGUUUGCAUAGAUAAGACCAAAGCAUGUUAAUGAAACUUAUGUAUUUGUUGGUAAAAUAUCAGUUACACAUUUUUCAUAUUCUAUACUUGACAGCUUUCGCAUAUCUACGUUUUAUCCAUUCACAUCUCCUUCUAUCUCAAGCAGCGGUCGGCAGGAUUUGAAAGUGGAUGCAGCGAAAAUUAUCCAACAAGAGAUAGAGAAAUCUGGCAGUUGCUCACUGAUCUGAAAAAGCAGGUGCAAUCUCCAUCGACAUCUGAUUUACGAUUUAGAUGUGUCGCCCCCCUCGUUCAAAGCACAUGUUUUAAAGGGGGUGGGUGAUCCCAAACUUUUGAUCGGGAGUGUAUUUAAACAAAAAUAUAACAGUAAUGAUCACAAAAUGGUUUCAUGUAAAAAAAAUGAUAAUUAAUAACAAGCAACAAAGAAGAUGCAACGAUUACUCUUUAUCCCUACUGGUGACAGAUAAUGACAUGAUCUCGAAAUUUUUUGUUGCAGACAAAACGGAAGCUGAAUUUGUUGCGUACUUUUCAACUCGUGAAUAAUCAAUUAUUGCUAACCCAAAGUCGAAACUGUUUGAUGAUAGAGCUUCACCAGAGUUGCAGUGUUUACCGACUCGAAGUUACCGUUCGAAAAUCGCAAUGCAAGACUUAAAAAUCUCUAAACUCGUGGUGUACGAUGUUAAUCCCAUUAUUUUCAAGUUGGGACAAACUUAUGUCGCAUGGGUUUAUUUGUCGCAACAAAUACAGGUUGUGACAUUGUCAUUAUUGUUGCGCGAUGGUUGAAUUUUGAUUCACUGGUUAUCAUACAGUGUCAUCAACCCAUUAUAAUCCAAAAAUAUUCACCGAAAUACCUAUUCGCCGAUGACUAUUCUCGAUAGCGGGCGUCAUAUUCACAAUAUUCAAAUGCUCGUCAUUUGAAAUUCGAAAUAUUCAACAGUAUGGUAAGGGGGAGGGGCAAUCUAAGAGAUGGAUCCUUAUAACUACAUAUCUAAAUACAAAUCAAAUUUCUCUGUUCUCUACCACGACUCUUAAGUACACUAGUCGGCGUAGUUAGAGGGGGGCUAGAGAGGCCUAAAUAUUGUUUCCUUGUUCCCUUGAAGAAUUCCUGAAGGAAUCCCUUAAGCAAUUCCUGGAGGAAUUUCGUGAGGAAUGCAUGGAGGAACUUCUGGACAAAUUUCUGGCGGAAUCCCAGGAGGAAUUCCUGGUGAAAUCUCUAGGGAAAUUUUUUGAGAAAUCGUUGAAGCAACUCCUAGAGAAUCCCUGGAGAUUUUUCUGAAAGUAUAAAUGGAGGAGUUCCUAGAGAAAUCGCUAGAGGAAUUCUAGGAGGAAUCCCUGGAGGAAUUUCUGAAGGAAUAAUUUGGAGAAGGAAUAAUCCUUGGAGAAAUUUCUGGACGAAUACCUGGAGCAUUCCCUGGAUAAAUUCCUAAAUGAAUUCCUGAACUCUGGGAGGGACCUAUGGUAGAAUUCCUGGAGCAAACUCUGGAGAAAUUCCUAAAGGAAACCCUGAAGGAACCCCUGCCGGAUUUCCAGGAGAAAUUCCUGGAGGACUCCCUGAAGAAAUUCCUGGAUGAGUUCCAGUAGCAAAUCCUGGAAGAAAUCCUGAAGGAAUCCCUCGAUGAAUUCUUGGAGGAUUCCCUAGUGGAAAUCUGGGAGGAAUCCCUGGAGAAAUUUCUGAAGAAGCCUCUGGAAAAGUUUCUGAAGAAAUUCCUCGAGGAAUUCCCAGAGGAAUUUCUGGAGGAAUUCUAGGAGGAAUCCCUGGAGAAAUUUCUGGAGAAACCCUAGAUACAUCUCUGGAGAAAUUUCUGAAAAAAAUCCUAGAUAAAUUCCCUAGAGGAUUUCGCAAAAGAAUUUCUGGAGGAAUCAUCGGAAGAAAUCCUGAAGCAAUCUCUAGAAGAAUCCUCACAGGAAUCCCUGGAGAAGUUUCUGAAGGAAUCCCUUGUAGAAAAAAAAUCUGGAUAAACUCCUGGAGGAAAUCUUGGCAGAAUUUCAGGAGAAAUCCCUGGUAAAAUUCCAGGAGGAAUCCCUGAAUAAAUUCCCAAAAUAAUUUCUGAAGGAAUCCAUGUAGGAUUUCCUGGAGAAAUUGCUGGAGGAAUUUCUUUGGGAAUUUCCGGAGGAAUUCCUAGAUCAGUUCCUGGAUAAAUUUCUGGAGAAAUUCCUUUCAUUUUCAUUUUCAUUUUGCAGCAUUUGGUGGGGCAAUGAGAGAGCAAGUCAGUCCAAAGCCGAUGAUAAGGAGGGGUAAUGGCUGAAUAGUCUUUGCUGACCACAUAAACGCCAUGGGAUAGGAAAAGGGUAUUUUGGUGUGGGAUUAGGGUGUUGGUACAGACUUGACAAUAUCAAUGCUAUUCAGAUGCAAAAUAAUUUUAAGGCUCAAUAGUGAAUCGCAUACCUUCCAAAACCAAAAAACAAUAAUUCACAAAAUACCAAGCAAGUCAUAGAAAGAAAAAGCGCCCGAUUGUUUAUUUUGUCAAUUAUAACAAACGGAAACUUCUACCCUCUCCGACUCGCCAGUCACCCCGGAAAAAAUGUCCCUUCAGUUCUGGAAAAUAUAUUAUUCCCAAUUAAGCCUUUAAUCGAAUUGUCCGCGUGGUCUUGUAGUACCCCUGCUAGGUAAGAAUCAGUCAUUGCCAUACAUAUUAAAUGCUAGACACAGGGAUGGAAACACUCUCAUCGUGAAUCAACUCGCGAGUGUAAAAGCAACAAACGGUUUACUCACGGUGCCGAGAGUAAGCCGUGUGUUAGUUUAUUCGCACCCGCUUGCUUCACGAGUAUGAAGGAAAACAAAAACAAAAACACUAAUGAAUUUUUAUUCGCGAAGAACAAGUGGAGAUGCGGGAAUUGCAUUUUAGUGCGAUUUUAAUAGCAAAACAAGUAAUUAUCCAUCAGAUAGUAGUGUUUUGUGCUUUAUUGUUCCUGAAAAGUUAAUCUGUCGGCCGUGUAAAUUCGUUUUUUCACAAAAUUGAAAAAUUUUCAGAGCUGCUUCACGAAUCAAUCACGAGUGCGAUCAGCUUCGUUAGCUCGCGAGUAAAGGAAGUGCGAAUACAUUCUGGCUUCUGUUGUUCACGAGUAGGAUAGCUUUGCGUUUGUGUCUACUCAGCUGCACUCCUCACUGUUUUCCAUCACUGAAUUUGCAUAUGUAAAAGCUUUGCUGAUGUGACUUUCCUAUUAGGCAAUUCUCUCAUCUCAUGUUUGUCUUCAAAACCUUAUCAAGCUUAGAAAAUUGAAGUUGAUAAACAAUACAUUACAAGGUUCGAAUUCCCAUAGAAUGAGAUCAUUCAUUCGCACUACAACACCAUAGGAGAUAAUACCACAUUGGCUGAUUACAGUACAAAUGUGAAAAAUCUCCCUUUUCCCCCUAUCCGCAACCCGGGGACGCUCCCUGUUGGAUUUCGAAAGCCUCGGAGAAUAUUACAAACCUUCAAUGGCAUUCCCAUAAACUAACCCACAUUGCCCAUUCAGGGGUCUGACUGGGCCUAUUACCCUCCCUCAGUUUGUAAUAUUCUCUCCAACUAGGAAUUAUAUUUUCCCGGCACAUAAAUGACUUCGACAAAUGUUCGAUAUAGGUACUAUGCAGCGUCAUGAUCAGUAUAACUAUAUCAGAUGACUUGAAGAUCUGAUUCUUACAGAAUUGUUUGCCAUUGAUUAUACAUUCAGCUAUUCCAAUCAUUGCUGCAAAGGCCAUCGACCACAUGCCUGAAAUCAAAGCUUCCUGGAAGAUAUAAUCCAAGCCCAGGG